GACGAACGCUGGCGGCGCGCCUAACACAUGCCAGUCGAACGGAGUCAAGAGGAGCUUGCUUUUCUUGACUUAGUGGCGAAUGGGUGAGUAACGCGUGAGUAACCUGCCCUGGAGUGGGGGACAACAGUUGGAAACGACUGCUAAUACCGCAUAAGCCCACGGAUCUGCAUGGAUCUGCGGGAAAAGGAUUUAUUCGCUCUAGGAUGGACUCGCGUCCAAUUAGCUAGUUGGUGAGGUAACGGCCCACCAAGGCGACGAUUGGUAGCCGGACUGAGAGGUUGAACGGCCACAUUGGGACUGAGACACGGCCCAGACUCCUACGGGAGGCAGCAGUGGGGGAUAUUGCACAAUGGGGGAAACCCUGAUGCAGCGACGCCGCGUGGAGGAAGAAGGUUUUCGGAUUGUAAACUCCUGUCGUUAGGGACGAUAAUGACGGUACCUAACAAGAAAGCACCGGCUAACUACGUG
rnacentral:rRNA from 1 species